UAGGGAAUCUUCGGCAAUGGACGGAAUUCUGGACCGAGCAACCNCGCGUGAGUGAAGAAGGUUUUCGGAUCGUAAAGCUCUGUUGUAAGAGAAGAACGAGUGUGAGAGUGGAAAGUUCACACUGUGACGGUAUCUUACCAGAAAGGGACGGCUAACUACGUGCCAGCAGCCGCGGUAAUACGUAGGUCCCGAGCGUUGUCCGGAUUUAUUGGGCGUAAAGCGAGCGCAGGCGGUUAGAUAAGUCUGAAGUUAAAGGCUGUGGCUUAACCAUAGUACGCUUUGGAAACUGUUUAACUUGAGUGCAAGAGGGGAGAGUGGAAUUCCAUGUGUAGCGGUGAAAUGCGUAGAUAUAUGGAGGAACACCGGUGGCGAAAGCGGCUCUCUGGCUUGUAACUGACGCUGAGGCUCGAAAGCGUGGGGAGCAAACAGGAUUAGAUACCCUGGUAGUCCACGCCGUAAACGAUGAGUGCUAGGUGUUAGACCCUUUCCGGGGUUUAGUGCCGCAGCUAACGCAUUAAGCACUCCGCCUGGGGAGUACGACCGCAAGNUUG
rnacentral:rRNA from 1 species